rnacentral:rRNA from 1 species
UACGGGGGGGGCAAGCGUUGUUCGGAAUUACUGGGCGUAAAGGGCGCGUAGGCGGCCUGCUAAGUCGGACGUGAAAUCCCUCGGCUCAACCGAGGAACUGCGUCCGAUACUGGUGGGCUUGAAUCCGGGAGAGGGAUGUGGAAUUCCAGGUGUAGCGGUGAAAUGCGUAGAUAUCGAGAGGAACACCUGCGGCGAAGGCGGGUUGCUGGGCUGACACUGACGCUGAGGCGCGAAAGCUAGGGGAGCGAACGGG